rnacentral:rRNA from 1 species
AUUGAACGCUGCGGCAGGCUUAACACAUGCAAGUCGAGCGAACGGCGGAGGGGUGCGUAAUGCUUAGGAAUCUGCCUAUUAGUGGGGGACAACAUCCCGAAAGGGAUGCUAAUACCGCAUACUAAUAGACUAGCCUAGUCGGACUAGCUAGGUGGUGGGGUAAAGGCCUACCAUGGCGACGAUCUGUAGCGGGUCCGAGAGGAUGAUUCGCCACACUGGAACUGAGAAACGGCCCAGACUCCUACGGAAGGCAGCAGUGGGGAAUAUGGACAAUGGGGGGAACCCUGAGGCAGCCAUGCCGCGUGUGUGAAGAAGGCCUUCGGUUUGUAAAGCACUUUCAGCGGGGAGGCGUUACCCGCAGAAGAAGCAACGGCUAACUACGUGCCAGCAGCCGCGGUAAUAC